rnacentral:lncRNA from 1 species
AAGUUCUGAACCUUUAGAAUGCUUUGUACCUGGUGCCUGAUUCACAAGCCAUCUCCUCUCCCUUUAUUUAUUUAUUUUUUUUCAAUCUCUCCUUUUGGGCUGUUCAGGUUAAUACAAAAUUAGAGGUUCAUGGUGGGAUUCUGACUACAUCGACCUUAUGAUACCAUUUUCUUUUUUGCAAAAUCCAAGUUCUUGUGUGGUCCUUUACACGAAGGACUUUUUUAGGUGUUUCUCUUUAAAUUUGUCUCAGAGCCUUCCUCUCCACACAAUGCUUUUUGGGGCUGUACUGGUGUAUUGGCCGAAUACAUGUUAAUGUCAUACUUUUUUAACAUGUAAAUCUAUCUAGUCAAUGUUCAUUUUCUGACAGAUCAGCCUACAACCUCAAUUCCGUGUGUAUUUUAGAAUAGCGAAUUCUAAAUGACUGCAGAAUCUAUUAAUUCUAUUCUAUUCGUGCAGGUCUGGAAGGGCCAAGGNNNN